rnacentral:rRNA from 1 species
UACGGAGGGGGCGAGCGUUAUUCGGAUUUAUUGGGCGUAAAGGGCGCGCAGGCGGUUUUUUAGGUCGGAUGUGAAAUCCCGCGGCUCAACUGCGGAAGUGCAUUCGAAACCGGAAAACUUGAGUAUGGGAGAGGGAAACGGAAGUCCCGGUGUAGCGGUGAAAUGCGUAGAUAUCGGGAGGAACACCUGUGGCGGGAGCGGUUUCCCGGACCAAUACUGACGCUGAGGCGCGAAGGCGCGGGGAUCAAACAGG